UAUUUAAAUAAAUUAUAUUUAAAUAAUAAUUAUAAAAUAGAUUUAUUAAAUUUUUACAAAAUAACACAACUAGAUACGUACGUUCACAACAUCAAAGCGAGUGAUGUUAUCCACUGAAUGCUGUUCACGAGAAUUGUUAACUGCAGGAGUGAAAAGUAUUACGGAAACAUGUAAUUUACUUUUAUAAGAGAUUAAUCAAGGAAGGGUUUUAUGGAUACAACCCUCCCUCCUCAAUUACGGAGAUUCAGGAAAAUUAUUAAAGAUAAUUAAAACUCUUUUCAAUUAUAAAAAGAACAACAUUAUGUGGUCACCAAAAUAUAAAUUUGAGGGGUCAUUGCGAUAUAGGUUACAUUAUAAACUACAACACUUCUGUAGUAAAUAAUAAAGGUAAUUUUAAAACUAACAGAUGCAAACAAAUUUUACAUUGAAAAACCAUCUAUAACAUUUGCUACAAGGUAUCAAAUUAUUUUUCGAUUGUAGUGGAUACAACCCAAAAUAUUUCCCGAUUGAAGCAAAUAUCGAUUUAAAAACAAUAACUUGUUUAACAAUGAUAUGAUAGAGCUUCGGCAAGAGUUGUCAGUACAAAAGUGUUCAAAAAUAUAUCUUAGGUGAGAUUUAACUUAAAAUACUACAUAAUUAAAUGAAUUUAAAGAAUGUAUACUGUUUCAAAAACCAUUAUUUCCUUAUUUUAAUACGUUUGGCGAUGAUGUAUAAAAUUAUGAAGAUUUUAAUGAUAAAUAAAUAACCCCGUGAUUAAAUUUCUUUAACUAUUUACAACGUUAUAUGUUAAGUUAGAUUAUAAAAGUAUAGAAAUGUAUAACUAAUCAUGCACCCCUUCACAAAAAAAACUUAUAUAUUUUUUUAUACUUGACUGAUAUUAAACAAAAUUA